rnacentral:rRNA from 1 species
GUCUACGGCCAUACCACCCUGAACGCGCCUGAUCUCGUCUGAUCUCGGAAGCUAAGCAGGGUCGGGCCUGGUUAGUACUUGGAUGGGAGAAGACGAAAUAAUCAUAAUUA